rnacentral:lncRNA from 1 species
UCAAAUGUUCGUCAUCAGAUCCGGAGGAUGCUGUAGAUUCGGCUCCGUCGUUGUCUUCCUCCACAUCGUCGUCCACAAGUGAAGUAUUUAUUAACAGUCCGAGAUACAAAUGGUUCACCGUACUCGGCGGUAUUGAGAUGUUAGACACCGCGUACUUGACUUACCUCAAGCUCACUGGUUCCGAUGUCUUUUGCCCUGUUGGUGGUGGUACUUGCAGCGAUGUCUUGAACAGCGAUUAUGCCCUUGUUUUUGGCUAGUAUCAUCCAUCGCUUUAUUUUGAUUCACGUUGCUCCAUUGUUGAAUUGUGGAGAUUGAAUGCAUAUAGGUAGUCCUGAGUCUAGAAUAUGAGAUUUAUAUUCGUGUACAUCUCUUAAACUAGCAAUUCAAUCACUAAGGCAUGAUUAGAUCCUGUUUAAAUAAUUCGCAUGUGAUUGUGAGAAUCUCGAAUUUGUGCUACAAGCUGUAGUAUUGCCUUAUUGGGGAGCUUCAGUAUUUAGUAUGCAUAGAAAGAACUGUUAAAGUAUUUAGUAUGCUUCAAUUUGUACUCCUGUUGUCGGAUCUAGAUUACCUAUUAAGACAUCGAGCGAUGCCUUAAAGUAUCCUCCGACUCUGUGUCUUCGUCCGUGGCUAUUUUUGCAAUCUCGCGAUAACUUCUCCAUCUAAUAUGUAAAUCUUUUCUAUGGAGACAGCAUGCCAAUCCGCGAAGGUGGAAGUACAUGAAGUCGGGCCCCGAUAAAUUUCCUAAAAAUAAUUAGUUGAAUCAACACAAAACACACAGACAAAGAUCUCAAAACAGAAAUAUUACUUGAAUAUGAACACUUACGUCUCUAAUAUCGGCAAAUUCCGGAAGGAACACUGCUAUGGUUCCUAUGAUUGGCUGACCUUUCAAAUAGUGAAGGGCCAUGUUAACAUCCUUGAAACAUCUGACAUCGUUAAGGACAUGUACGCGAUUCGCCUCACAGGGGUGUCGACCAACAUAGUCACUGCACUUCCUAGAAAACCUCCAGUCAGAACUCUUCGGAAUCCCGUUGUUCAUUAUAUACUCCAUAGCUCUAAACGUAGAAUAUCCGUAGCAGCUAUGUUCCCCGAAACUAGUUGAAAGUCUCAUUCUUGCCUUCGAAUGGUCCACAACAUCCAGAAGAAACGUACUGGAAUAACGUGUUCGUGUCUCAUCGAUUCCUCUGUGAAAACGUGCAUCACUAAUAUUUCCCGAAGACGCCUUCGUCCAACAUGUUCCUGCAAUUUCGAUUAAGGAUAUUAUUUAUAGUGAAAAGUUAAAAAGACUGGAAAUUAUAUAUGUAUCACAUUACGAUGAUAUCCCUGAGCUGCCACUGGAGCUUCUUUAUCAUGCCAGCCUUCUCCUUGUACUUUCUCAUGGUCUACCUGAAAUCAUCAUAACAAAAUCAUUGAGAAAACAAUACAGAUAAAAAGAAUACAUAUUAUUAUAUAAUACAAGUAACACCAUAAAUUUUGCAGGCCAAACCGAAUCAAAACAAAACAGAAACCAAACCGAGUGUCAUUUACUUUCUUAACCUGAAAACUGAACCGAAACCCGGUAACUUACAGAAAACUCCUCAAAUGUUCGUCAUCUGAGCCGGAAGAUUUUUGAUCAAAUGUUCGUCAUCUGAGCCGGAAGAUGGUGUAGAUUCGGCGUCGGCGCCGUCGUCGACAAGUGAAGUACCUAUUGACACUUGGACAUACAACUGGUUCACCGUACUCGGCGGUAUCGGAAUGUUGAACACCGCGUACUUGACUUACCUCAAGCUCACUGGCUCCGAUGCCUUUUGCCCUGUUGGUGGUGGCACUUGCGGCG